rnacentral:rRNA from 1 species
AAUAUUGCACAAUGGGCGAAAGCCUGAUGCAGCAACGCCGCGUGAGUGAUGAAGGCCUNCGGGUCNUNAAGCUCUUUGAUCAGGGNGGAUAAUGACAUUACCUGAAAAACAAGCCACGGCUAACUACGUGCCAUCAGCCGCGGUAAUACGUAGGUGGCGAGCGUUGUCCGGAAUUACUGGGCGUAAAGGAUGCGUAGGUGGAUACUUAAGUGGGAUGUGAAAUCCCCGGGCUCAACCCAGGAGCUGCAUUCCAAGCUGGGUAUAUAGAGUGCAGGAGAGGAAAGCGGAAUUCCUAGUGUAGCAGUGAAAUGCGUAGAUAUUAGGAGGAACACCAGUGGCGAAGGCGGCUUUCUGGACUGUAACUGACACUGAGGCAUGAAAGCGUGGGUAGCAAACAGG